GCGGAAGUAGCUCAGCUGGCAGAGCGGCAGCUUCCCAAGCUGCAGGUCGUGGGUUCGAACCCCAUUUUCCGCU
rnacentral:tRNA from 1 species